GACGAACGCUGGCGGCGUGCUUAACACAUGCAAGUCGAACGGAAAGGCCCUGCUUUUGUGGGGUGCUCGAGUGGCGAACGGGUGAGUAACACGUGAGUAACCUGCCCUUGACUUUGGGAUAACUUCAGGAAACUGGGGCUAAUACCGGAUAGGAGCUCCUGCUGCAUGGUGGGGGUUGGAAAGUUUCGGCGGUUGGGGAUGGACUCGCGGCUUAUCAGCUUGUUGGUGGGGUAGUGGCUUACCAAGGCUUUGACGGGUAGCCGGCCUGAGAGGGUGGCCGGCCGCAGUGGGACUGAGAUACGGCCCAGACUCCUACGGGAGGCAGCAGUGGGGAAUAUUGCACAAUGGGCGGAAGCCUGAUGCAGCAACGCCGCGGGCGGGAUGACGGCCUUCGGGUUGUAAACCGCUUUCGCCUGUGACGAAGCGUGAGUGACGGUAAGGGGUAAAGAAGCACCGGCUAACUACGUGC
rnacentral:rRNA from 1 species